rnacentral:rRNA from 1 species
AUUAGUGGCGAACGGGUGAGUAAUACGUGAGUAACCUGCCCUUGACUCUGGGAUAAGCCUGGGAAACCGGGUCUAAUACUGGAUACUACUUCCUGCCGCAUGGUGGGUGGUGGAAAGGGUUUUACUGGUUUUGGAUGGGCUCACGGCCUAUCAGCUUGUUGGUGGGGUAAUGGCUCACCAAGGCGACGACGGGUAGCCGGCCUGAGAGGGUGACCGGCCACACUGGGACUGAGACACGGCCCAGACUCCUACGGGAGGCAGCAGUGGGGAAUAUUGCACAAUGGGCGGAAGCCUGAUGCAGCGACGCCGCGUGAGGGAUGACGGCCUUCGGGUUGUAAACCUCUUUCAGUAGGGAAGAAGCGAAAGUGACGGUACCUGCGGAAGAAGCGCCGGCUAACUACGUGCCAGCAGCCGCGGUAAUACGUAGGGCGCAAGCGUUGUCCGGAAUUAUUGGGCGUAAAGAGCUCGUAGGCGGUUUGUCGCGUCUGCUGUGAAAGCCCGGGGCUCA